rnacentral:misc_RNA from 1 species
AACGGAUGGCGAGUAAGAUGGCCGCUCCUCGGAGCGCGUCUUCCAUCGGAAAGCCUUCGUAAGUCGCACGCCUCGAACAUCCAAUCCCAAGUUCAAUUUUUCAUACGUGAGACAUCGCCCGGUUCGGGUCGCAUGUCAUCGCUGUUUGACAACGGAAGUUGUGGUAGAUCGCGGAUUUGAGAAUCCUUAUUGAGAGACUUUCUUUUUCGUCCAGCAUGGACGUAGCAGAUUGUCACUCGAAAAAAGUAGUAGUAGAUCGUACCGCUCUGCUUGAGACAACAGUGUUGUAGUCAAGCGAGCGAAGGCAUGUGGGGGAUGCCUGGGCACACGGAGGCGAUGAAGGCCGUGGUAAGCUGCGAUAAGCCAGGGGGAGCGGCACACACGCAAUGAUCCCUGGAUGGCCG